rnacentral:rRNA from 1 species
GUGCCAGCAGCCGCGGUAAUACGGAGGGGGCAAGCGUUAUUCGGAAUCAUUGGGCGUAAAGGGCGCGUAGGCGGCUUGGCAAGUCAAAGGUGAAAUCCCUCGGCCCAACCGAGGAACUUCCUUUGAUACUGCCAAGCUCGAGGCCGGGAGAGGGUAGCGGAAUUCCCAGUGUAGCGGUGAAAUGCGUAGAUAUUGGGAGGAACACCAGUGGCGAAGGCGGCUACCUGGACCGGUUCUGACGCUGAUGCGCGAAAGCGUGGGGAGCAAACAGGAUUAGAUACCCCCGUAGUCC